GGCGGAAUGCCAGAGUGGUCGAUUGGGCUCGUCUUGAAAACGAGUAUACCGGAAACGGUAUCGCAGGUUCGAACCCUGCUUCCGCCGCCA
rnacentral:tRNA from 1 species